rnacentral:rRNA from 1 species
UACGUAGGGGGCAAGCGUUAUCCGGAUUUACUGGGUGUAAAGGGAGCGUAGACGGCAGUGCAAGUCUGGAGUGAAAGGCGGGGGCUCAACCCCCGGACUGCUCUGGAAACUGUAAGGCUAGAGUGCAGGAGAGGUAAGUGGAAUUCCUAGUGUAGCGGUGAAAUGCGUAGAUAUUAGGAGGAACACCAGUGGCGAAGGCGGCUUACUGGACUGUAACUGACGUUGAGGCUCGAAAGCGUGGGGAGCAAACAGG